rnacentral:rRNA from 1 species
AUUGAACGCUGGCGGAAUGCUUUACACAUGCAAGUCGGGCGGCAGCGCGGCCUUCGGGCUGGCGGCGAGCGGCGAACGGGUGAGUAAUGCAUCGGAACAUGCCCAGUCGUGGGGGAUAACACUUCGAAAGAAGUGCUAAUACCGCAUACAUCCUGAGGGGGAAAGCGGGGGAUCGCAAGACCUCGCGCGAUUGGAGUGGCCGAUGUCAGAUUAGCUAGUUGGUGGGGUAAAGGCCUACCAAGGCGACGAUCUGUAGCUGGUCUGAGAGGAUGAUCAGCCACACUGGGACUGAGACACGGCCCAGACUCCUACGGGAGGCAGCAGUGGGGAAUUUUGGACAAUGGGGGCAACCCUGAUCCAGCCAUUCCGCGCGAGUGAAGAAGGCCUUCGGGUCGUAAAGCUCUUUCGGCAGGAACGAAACGGUGGGCUCUAACAUAGUCCGCUAAUGACGGUACCUGAAGAAGAAGCACCGGCUAACUACGUG